AUGGCGGCACGUGCGGAAGGUUUAGGCGUGCCCCGCUGCUCUGGAAUGUUCAGAGAAGCGCUGAUGGCUGUUGCAACCAUGAGUCAGGAGAUGAUUGCCGUGAAAGUGAAUUACCUCAAGAACACAUUCAGGUGGUCAGAAGCUGAGGUGUCCAUUGCUGUUAGUCGUUCUCCGAUGGUGCUGGUGAGGUCUAAUAACAUGCUGCGGAGCAAAUCAGAGUUCCUUAUCUCUGAGGUGAGGUUGGAACCGGUAUACAUUGCUCAUCGACCAGUAAUUCUUGGGCUCAACCUGGAGGGCCGGCUCAGGCCCCGACACUAUGUUAUGAGAUUUCUUAAGGCAAAUGGAUUGCUAGACUGCGACAGGAGCUACUUUUCUGCCUUCAUGGUGACCGAGAAGGUAUUCGUGGAGAAGUACAUAUGCCCUUACAAGGAAGUUGCACCACACCUUGCUGAAGACUAUGCUGACGCUUGCAGAGGGCAAGUGCCAACUAGAUUUAGAAUUGCAUGA
rnacentral:rRNA from 1 species